GGGGGCAUCUGGAACCUUCGAGGGGUGCUCAGUAAUGCAUGGCACAGGGUGGGGGUCACUGUCACACCCUGAGGGUCACUGUCACACCCUGAGUGUCACUGUCACCUGCUGGGGGUCACUGUCACCCACUGAGGGACAGCGUGGGGGGCAUCUGGAACCUUCGAGGGGUGCUCAGUAAUGCAUGGCACAGGGUGGGGGUCACUGUCACACCCUGAGUGUCACUGUCACACCCUGAGUGACACCAGGGGUCACUGUCACCUGCUGGGGGUCACUGUCACACCCUGAGUGUCACUGUCACCUGCUGGGGGACAGCGUGGGGGGAAUCUGGAACCUUCGAGGGGUGCUCAGCAAUGCAUGGCACCGGGUGGGGGUCACUGUCACACCCUGAGGGUCACUGUCACACCCUGAGUGUCACCAAGGGACACUGUCACCUGCUGGGGGUCACUGGGGACACUGGGGACA